UUGUCCUGUGACUGCGUACCUUUUGUAUAAUGGGUCAGCGACUUAUAUUCAGUGGCAAGGUUAACCAUCUAGGGGAGCCGUAGGGAAACCGAGUCUUAACUGGGCGUUCAGUCUCUGGAUAUAGACCCGAAACCAGGUGAUCUAGCCAUGGGCAGGUUGAAGGUUGAGUAACAUCAACUGGAGGACCGAACCGACUAAUGUUGAAAAAUUAGCGGAUGACUUGUGGCUAGGGGUGAAAGGCCAAUCAAACCUGGAGAUAGCUGGUUCUCCCCGAAAGCUAUUUAGGUAGCGCCUCGGACGAAUACUACUGGGGGUAGAGCACUGUUAAGGCUAGGGGGUCAUCCCGACUUACCAACCCUUUGCAAACUCCGAAUACCAGUAAGUACUAUCCGGGAGACACACGGCGGGUGCUAACGUCCGUCGUGGAGAGGGAAACAACCCAGACCGCCAGCUAAGGUCCCAAAUUACUACUAAGUGGGAAACGAUGUGGGAAGGCUCAGACAGCCAGGAUGUUGGCUUAGAAGCAGCCAUCAUUUAAAGAAAGCGUAAUAGCUCACUGGUCGAGUCGGCCUGCGCGGAAGAUGUAACGGGGCUAAGUAGUAAACCGAAGCUGCGGCAAUGCACUUUAGUGCAUUGGGUAGGGGAGCGUUCUGUAAGCGGUUGAAGGUGUGUGGUAACGCAUGCUGGACGUAUCAGAAGUGCGAAUGCUGACAUGAGUAACGAUAAAGGGGGUGAAAAACCUCCUCGCCGGAAGACCAAGGGUUCCUGUCCAACGUUAAUCGGGGCAGGGUAAGUCGACCCCUAAGGCGAGGCCGAAAGGCGUAGUCGAUGGGAAACGGGUUAAUAUUCCCGUACUUCUUACAAUUGCGAUGGGGGGACGGAGAAGGCUAGGUG
rnacentral:rRNA from 1 species